rnacentral:rRNA from 1 species
GACGAACGCUGGCGGCGUGCUUAACACAUGCAAGUCGAACGGAAAGGCCCAGCUUGCUGGGUACUCGAGUGGCGAACGGGUGAGGAACACGUGGGUGAUCUGCCUUGCACUCUGGGAUAGGCCUGAGAAACUGGGACUAAUACCGGAUAUGACCAACUGUCGCAUGGUGGUUGGUGGAAAGCUUUUGCGGUGUGGGAUGGGCCCGCGCCCUAUCAGCUUGUUGGGGGGGUAUGGGCCUACCAAGGCGACGACAGGUAGCCGACCUGGGCGGGGGGGCGGCCACACUGGGACUGCGACACGGCCCAGACUCGAACGGUAGGCAGCGGUGGAGAGUAUUACACAGUGGGCGCGAGCCUGAUGCGACGACGCCGCGUGAGGGAUGACGGCCUUCGGGUUGUGAACCUCAUUCCCCAGGGACGAAGCGUGAGUGACGGUACCUGGAGAAGAAGCACCGGCUAACUACGUG